rnacentral:rRNA from 1 species
GUACGGCGGCAGGGCUGAACUCAAAGGACUGACGGGACCCGCACAAGCGGCGAGCAUGUGGUUUAUUUGAAGCAACGCGGAGAACUUUACCAGGUCUUGACAUCCUCUGACACUCCUAGAGAUAGGACGUUCCCCUUCGGGGGACAGAGUGACAGGUGGUGCAUGGUUGUCGUCAGCUCGUGUCGUGAGAUGUUGGGUUAAGUCCCGCAACGAGCGCAACCCUUAUUCUUAGUUGCCAGCAUUCAGUUGGGCACUCUAAGGAGACUGCCGGUGACAAACCGGAGGGAAGGUGGGGAUGACGUCAAAUCAUCAUGCCCCUUAUGACCUGGGUCUACACACGUGCUACAAUGGAUGGUACAAAGGGCUGCAAAACCGUGAGGUCAAGCGAAUCCCAUAAAACCAUUCUCAGUUCGGAUUGUAGGCUGCAACUCGCCUACAUGAAGCUGGAAUCGUCUAGUAAUCGUGGAUCAGCAUGCCACGGUGAAUACGUUCCCGGGUCUGUACACACCGCCCGUCACACCACGAAAGUUUGUAACACCCAAAGUCGGUG